rfam:Aedes aegypti strain Liverpool supercont1.35 genomic scaffold, whole genome shotgun sequence.
CAAUCGACCCUUUUCAGGGCCACCAAGAGUUUGCUUAUGAAUUAUU